GACGAACGCUGGCGGCGUACUUAACACAUGCCAGUCGAACGAUGACGACCGAGCUUGCUCGGUCUGAUUAGUGGCGAACGGGUGAGUAACACGUGAGCAACCUGCCCUUCACUCUGGGAUAACCUCGGGAAAUCGGGGCUAAUACCGGAUAUGAGCUCCUGUCGCAUGGCGGGUGUUGGAAAGUUUUUCGGUGAAGGAUGGGCUCGCGGCCUAUCAGUUUGUUGGUGAGGUAGUGGCUCACCAAGGCGAUGACGGGUAGCCGGCCUGAGAGGGCGACCGGCCACACUGGGACUGAGACACGGCCCAGACUCCUACGGGAGGCAGCAGUGGGGAAUAUUGCACAAUGGGCGAAAGCCUGAUGCAGCGACGCCGCGUGAGGGAUGACGGCCUUCGGGUUGUAAACCUCUUUCAGCAGGGAAGAAGCGAAAGUGACGGUACCUGCAGAAGAAGCGCCGGCUAACUACGUG
rnacentral:rRNA from 1 species